rnacentral:lncRNA from 1 species
CAGACGCCUCUGUUCCAGCUGCAGGUCCCUCAAGCCUUCAAAGACGACUUCAGUGUCAACCUCAGAUGCAGUGACGCAAGUUUGUUCCUUUUCACAGAGCUUUCAGUGUGAACGGUCUGGACCAGACCGGACCAGACCAGUUAAGACCCCACCCCAUUCAGAAGCAAAGACUGUGUUGAAUGUGUUCAGGUCUUACCAGCCAUCAGGAGGCAGAUGAUGCACAUGGAGAAGGCCACGACCAUGAUGAUGGGCAGCUGCAAAGACAGGCAAAGCGUGAGCUGCUGCAGGAGGCGGGGCUGGUGGUCUGCCUCACACUCGUCUUACCGUCAGGAACUUCCAGUCCUUUUGUUCCUGCAGGGGGGAACUCGAGUCCGCCUCUUCCACGACAAAGUUCCCCAGGAACAGAUCGAUGGAGUCCUGGAGUUUGAGAUGAUUCACAGUAAACAUCCACAUUUUAAAAUGUAUCUAAAAAGUGUUUCGAUUUUUUUUCUCACUAAGAUUUUAAAGAUCAUCUUUGAAAAACCAAAACCUAGAGGUCAGAUGAACCCGAACUCUGCAUCUACCUGCACACAUGGAGGCUCACCUGUCUGAAGCCAUCAGAGAAGUUGUUUUUGUAGUACCGGAUCAUGGAGUUCCAGCCAUCCAUCAGCAGACCUAGCUGAGUUCUCUUCCCAGUCCUGAAAUGUGGUCACACCGGGGUGAUGCAGAGGCCACAUGCAUCAGAGGUCACGUGCAUCAGAGGUCACGUGCAUGGCUGCAGAGCUGCAGCAUUCUGGUAACUUCCUCAGGAGGAACUCAAAAACUAUGGGUUUUGUUUUAACCAAUCACCCUUUGGUUCAAAUGAGCAAGCACAGACGUUCCUGCACGUCAGGGCAAACGCAUGCAGAUAAAGACUCAGGGAGGAUUUGAACCUCGUGAGGUAAAAGAAGCUUCUCUGAAUUUUACAAAAACCUCUUCAGUGCAAAGGAAAGUGCAAUGCGGUGGGUGGCCUGCAGGCUUGUGCACGAGUCCCAGCAGAAGCUGCCGCUACACUUCAGACCACAGGAACCAAACUGAGAAUCAACAAAAGUCCAGCGUUGACUCUUCAGCGACACGCGCUGCGUUAAGUGGAAGUGUGGUUACAAAAAUGAUUUAAAGUAAACCAGGAUGCAGCUUCAUGCCAUGACAAAUUCAUCUGGUAAAAACUAUGAAGAGAGAAGAUUUCAUUUGAUCCACAGAAAUAGAGGAGGGAAGAUGGAGUCCAAUGGAAUUCUUUUCACUAAACCAAACCUGUCGUUCAAGUGGUCCAGGCUGAAAAAAGGGAAAAACUGACCUGGUGAAGUCCGUCUUCAGAGCUCCGGUGCCGGCGUACUGCUUCGCACACGCGUCAGCGUUGUCUGCCCAGGCUGCAUCCCAACACAGGAGACUUCAUCAGAUCACAACCCCCCCUCAGUUCACUGCUCCUGAGUCUGCAGCUGGGAACAGUCACCCACCAUUCUUAAAUGCCUUUUCAAAAUCCAACUGCUCCUCGAGCUUCUGGCCCAGGUGCAAGACGCCCAUCCUCUGCAGACACAGACACACACAUCAGGAUCCCACAGAGCCUGGAAAUGGGCAUGACGACACCAGCAAGACCAGCAAGACCACGGCAAUGCAAUGUUUCUCAAGAAGAAGCCCAUUUCCAGGUCGAACCGCAGAGCUGAGUCUGGCUCAGCCCAUUGGACCGGGUCAUGGUUGGUACCUGCAGCUGAGCCUGAAGAGAGUUCCGGGCCAGCAGGCUCUGGAUCACGUUGGUUCGGUCUAGACAGUCCAUGCAGUUGCUCCGAAAGGUGCCGUCCUGACUGAGCAGCACCUUCCCAUCAGAGUCCACGAGGAAGAAUCUGCACACAGACAACAUCUCAUCUGCACUGAGAACACCAUGGCAGUGAGGGACCAAGGCCCGUUCCACUGACCCAAGCUCCUCCUGCGCCUCAGCCACCAUGUCCAGCAGGAUCUGCAGGCGGUGCCACCUCAUGCGACUGCACUCCUUGUGGAAGUCAAAGGCCACGUACCUGCGGAGGAGCUGGUCAUUACCCAAACAUCUGCAGCUGCCCAUCUUGCAGCAGAACACAGAGGAGCCUCACCUGACCAUGCCGGUACCCAGGCUAGUCACCAGGUUUCUGAAGGCCAGCUCCAGAGGCUUCUCUGAGCCAUUCUGGUUGAUCUGCAAAUAGAAAAACAGCCUGAAGAUGCUGCCUGAUCUUUUAGCUUCAGGUUGACUUCAUUUACAGUGGAGGAAAUAAAUAUGUGAUCCCUUGCUGAUUUAGUAGGUUUACUGCUUCCUACCCCAAACUAGGAUUUGGGGUUUACGACACACUGUCCUCAGCAGAUAAGGAAGGGUGCUGUUUGAACUGAAAAGGUUCAUUAUAUGACACCCCUAAGGAACUUCUCAAGGCUGUUUCUCUGCUUGUAAGUUGUAACCUCCUACUUGUAUUAUCAAUAAAAGGAGCAAGGAGAGAAGCAGUCCUUCAAGAAAAAGGAUGAUGGCACUUCUCCAUCAGACUGGUUUCUUCCUUCUACACAAGAAACUUUGCUUGUUGGUGUUGUAGCCACAAAAGUAUUUAAAUUAAGGAAAUGACAUUAUGAUUAAAUUCUGUGUC